UAUCGAGGUUUUCCUUGGCAGUUAACUGCAGCUGGUUAUUAUAAUUAUUCGGCAGUUAACUGCCGAGGGGGCA
rnacentral:pre_miRNA from 1 species